rnacentral:rRNA from 1 species
UAGAGUUUGAUCCUGGCUCAGACGAACGCUGGUAGCGUGGAUUAGGCAUGCAAGUCGAACGGGAUCCGGGAGGUAGCAAUACUUCCUGGUGAGAGUGGCGGAUUGGGGAGGAACACGUGAGCACCUGCCUUGGAGUCGGGGAAAACCGUUGGAAACGACGGCUAAUACCGGAUGUGGCGCCCGGUGACAUCAUCGGAGCGCUAAAGGGGGCCGCAAGGCUCUCGCUCCUAGAGGGGCUCGCGCACCAUCAGCUUGUUGGCGGGGUAACGGCCCACCAAGGCCUACGGUUAGCUGGUCUGAGAGGAUGACCAGCCCCACUGGGACUGAGAUACUGCCCAGACUCCUACGGGAGGCUGCAGUCGAGGAUCAUUUGCAAUGGGCGAAAGCCUGACAAUGCGACGCUGCGUGGAGGAUGACGCCUUCGGGUUGUAAACUCCUGUCAUGGGGGACAGGCGAGGGACCCAAUACGUCCCUUAGUUGAGUGUACCCAGAGAUUGCGGCUACUCUGUGCAGCAGCCGCGGUAUACGAGCCAGGAGCGUUGUUCGGAUUUACUGGGCGUAAAGGGCGCGUAGCGGCGAGGC